AACGAACGCUGGCGGCAGGCCUAACACAUGCAAGUCGAGCGAGGACUUCGGUUCUAGCGGCGGACGGGUGAGUAACGCGUGGGAAUGUGCCCUUCUCUACGGAAUAGCCCUGGGAAACUGGGAGUAAUACCGUAUACGCCCUAUUGGGGAAAGAUUUAUCGGAGAAGGAUCAGCCCGCGUUGGAUUAGGUAGUUGGUGGGGUAAUGGCCUACCAAGCCGACGAUCCAUAGCUGGUUUGAGAGGAUGAUCAGCCACACUGGGACUGAGACACGGCCCAGACACAUCGGGGAGGAGGAGGGGGGAAAGUUUAGAAAGGGGGGCCAACACGAAUCGAGCCAGGCGGGGGGAGGAAGAAAGGCGUAGGGGUGGAAAAGUCUUUGGAGCGGGAAAAAAAAGGAGGGUACAAGAAAAAGAAGCCCCGGCUACCUCCGUG
rnacentral:rRNA from 1 species